UUACAUCUAGGCUAGUCCUUGUUACCUUAACGGCUCUAUAAUCUUCCCUGGAGAGUGCCCACAGUUCAUCUGCAUAUUUUUUCACACACCCUCUCUCCAGUUGUUUCAUCAGUCCAACUUUGUUUUAAUACAUAUCCUUAAUUAAUCAAAGCCUACCUUCAAAUACUAUUAUACUGCUUUACCUAUAGUGUAAGGACCUUAUAACAGUAUAUUCCCAAGCCCUCCCUCUCAUACCUUGAACUCAAACAUUUUACAUUUUACGUUAUCAACAUUUUACUUUCACACGUGCUAUAAACACAAAAUAUAUGCGUAUUAAUUUUGCCUUAGACAGUUUGACUAAUUGAAAACAAGAAAAAUUAAUUUUCCUUUAUCUGCAUUUAUUAUAUUUCAAGCUCUCUUUACUUCUUUGUGUAGAUUUACGUUUCUGUUUGAUGUCAUACUCCUUCACCUGAAGAAGUUCCUUUAAUGUUUCUUGUACUGUAGGUCUGUUGGUUAUAAAGGCUCUCAGUUUUUAUUUGUUGAAGGAAAUCUUUAUUUCUUCAUGUUUGAAAGAUAUUCUCACUGGGUACAACAUUCUUGGUUGACUUAUUUUUUCAUUUUAGCACUUUAAAGAUUAUCUUCUGGCUUACAAGGUUUCUGACAAGAAAUGUGUGGUGAUUCUAUCUUUCUUUCACUAUAUGUCUUUUUUUCUCCCUGACUUCAAUAGUUUAUCUCUUGUUUACAGCAGUUUGAUUACAAUAUGCUUGGGUGUUUUAUUUCUUUUUUUUUUUGUAUUUACCCUGUUUGGUAUUCUCUGAGCUUCAUGUAUCUGUGCUUUGGUGUCCAUCAUUAAUUUUGGGAAAAUUAUUUCUUCAAUUUGAAUUACAUUUAAAUUCUUCUGCCUCAUUAUCUCUCUUUUUCUUUCUGAGAUUUCAAUUACAUGUAUAUUAGACCAUUUGAUACACUCAGUGUUUUUUGUUUUUUUUUUUAACUUUUUUCCCCCUUUGUGUUUUAGUUUGGGUACUUUCUUGAAGUUCUUUGAGUUUUUCCUUGGCUGUGUUGAUUCAACUACUGAGACUGUUAAGACAUUCUUUGUCUCUUAUUGUUCUUCAUUUCUGGUAUUUCUAUUUGAUGUUUUUAUACUUUCUAUCUCUCUGCUGAAAUUUCCCAUCUGAUUUUGCAUGUUGUUUACACUUUCCAUUAGUGUCUUUUAACAUAUAAAUCUUAUUUUAAAUUCCUUGUCAAAUCAUUCAGAUACCUGUGUCAUAUCUAGUUCUAUUGAUUGCUUUGUCUCUUGGUAGUGUGUUGCCUUGUCUUGUUAUUUUUGUAUGUCUCAUAAUUUUUGUUGAAAACCAGGCAGUCUGUGUAGGACAGUAGGGACUGAAAUAAAUAGUUUUAUGCUUGGAAAUGGGUUUUUGCCUUUCCUACAGCUCAGGCAUUACUAUGGCUUUUGAGUUAACUUUGUUAGUAGUUAAACUGGGUUUGAGGUUUGUUGCUGCUGUGUGGGUUCCUUCAGGGCACCAAGGCUUCAAAUACCUCUAGGGAUAUCUGUUAUGUAGGACAUGGGGUGGUUUUGCAGAGAAUUUUCCUUGUUGUCUGCUGCACCCUUAGAGUUGGGCCUUUCCUUUGCACUGUGUUUCAGAGAUGGUCUAUUUCCACAUUCUUACAACUCUCCUACCAAUAUUCCACUGCCACUUGUUACACACAGUGCUGGUUAUUCUGAUGGUGGGGGUGGGGAUAGGGAGUGUUCUGAUAUUUAAGUCUCAAUCUGAGAUGGGCACUGCAUCCCUGGGUUUCAGAGUGUGAUCUUCUUAGUGCUCCUGCCCUCCCACAGCUGUAGUUCUGGGCCCACCAUGCAUUCCUGCCCCUCAUCCAGGCAUAAAGGGUUUGUUUUUCCUGUUCCUUUCUUCUAGAUACAAUAGGUUUCCAGCAGUUCCCCAAGGAUAUAUUAUUGUCCUUUUCUCUCCACGGAUUAGGACUUGUGUUCCACAGGUAAAAUACAGGAGAAGGGUCCUGGAGGGGUUUCCUCCACAGCAGCUGCUGUUUCUCUCCUGAGAACUGCACCACAAGGGGCGCCUUUCUCAGGAUGUCUGCCAGCCUUUUUUGUGAGUGCCUGGCGGGUAGGGGUCCGUGGAGAAAAGUCUGCAAACAGGGUGUCAACACCCCCUGCAUGUGGCCGCCCCAGAGGCGUCAUACUUGGCCUUCACCAAUUCAUUAACUUUUCUACCUGAAAUUUUCUUCUUUGCAUCCAGUUGCCCAUUAAGCCAGUAAACUUCUUCCUGCAGUUGUUGUUGUAAGGGUUGGACCAAAGUUCUUUCCAGAUCUCUACAUUCUGAGCAGAAACUGGAUGUUUCUUUAAUCCUCCUUUAAGACAUGUCUACAAUAUCUUUCCUCAAGGAAUCCUUCCUGGAUAACCCCCCCAAUGACUUUCACCUUUAUUUACUACAUUAUUUGUAUUUUUACUUUAUUUCCUUAAUACUAUAUGACAUUUUAAAACCUUCAUUUCAUUGUAUAAGUACAAAUUGAACAUCUACUGUGUGCCAGGUAUUGGAAAUACAAAGAAAAAGGGUACAGUUUUGACUUUUAGAAAGCUGGGACAGAUAAGUAAAGCAAUAUUUAAAAUGGUUACCACUGGGUUGGGGAAGGGUGUGAGAUCAAGAUGGGUCAUGCACAGGGUUUCAAAUGUAUUGGUCUUGUUUUAUUUCUUAGGCUGAGGAUGGACAUUCAGAUGCUUGCUUUAUUGUUAUUAUUCUUCAAAUUGUGCAGAUACAUUAUAUUUGCUCUUUCGUAUUUCCAAAAAUGUCUCUCAAUUAAAAACUUAAAGCAACACCGGAAGUCAUCACAUUGCAGAGGUCAUCAAUAUGCACAUAUAGGAAGAAUGAAAAAUAAUUAAAUGUUAUUCAGAUGGGUAUUCAAGACUUGGGUUAAAAUUUCCAUGAUAGCAUCCUACGUGGAUUUUUUAAGAUGUCGUAUCUCAAAUGCUUAUGUGCAAGUGAAGUUGGUGUGUUCUGGAAAACUGAGUUAGAGAACUUAAAGGAUGGCUUUAAUGUUGACAAAUACGCUAAUGUUGACAAAUAGGAAUGAUAUAAAUAAUUUGAAUAAAAUUGUUUCAUGAUGUUUACAAAAAAUUCAUAAUAAAACAACAUGAUAAGUGCUGUCAAGGAAGUAUUUAUAGGUUGCUAUAGGAACACAACAGAGAAAAGUUCCAUAAAGAUUGUGACAUUGAAAUUCAGUCUUAAAGAGUGAGUAGGCACUCUCCAAGGGUAAAAGCUGGCACUUCCUUGCACAAGUUUCCUCUAUCAAAUUAUGUGCUUGUUUAGAGUUCUGGAGACUGAGUCUGGAAGCAAUGCAGACCCCCACCGGGAGAUCACCUCAAGGCAGCCUUUGAGACAACAUCAGCCCAUUCACCAGGUGGAGCAAUAAUUCAAGACAGUCAUCAUGUUGACCAGCACCUCCCUGCCACUCCUGCAUGACCUUCAUGCCAAAUUCCCUUUUUAAACCCUACCCUCAGCCCACGACUUCAAAAUGGCUUCUUUGAGGCACGAGCCAUGGCCAUUUCCCCACUGCCAGCUCCGGAACAAAGUCACUUUCCUUUCACUCCACCUCCUCCCUGUCACUGGCUUUCCUGCAAGAGGCGAGGAGUCAGGCCUGUGCCUGAUUAGGAGCAGCAGGAAUACCAAGGAGGGCCCAACCUGAAGAGACACCUGAAAGUUGGAAUGAUGGAAACUUGGCCACGAUGGAUGUGGGGCUCCCACAGAGAGCACAAGGAGAAGAAAGGAGAGUCAAGAGGGAAACCAAGAAUGACAACACAAAGUCUGAGAGGAGAAAACAGCCCACAAAAGACCAGAGAGGAGCUGCUUCAUACUUGUGGGGCAAGUGACUGUCACAUCGCUUGAAGUACUCAACUAGAGUGGUAUAAUUGCUUAUUUCAGGGUAAUGAUGUUUAAUGGUGUUACUUAAUGAGAAUGGGAUUUGUGUUUACUUCUUAUUUUACCCAUAUCUCUUUUACUUUGGCUGACAUUGUGCAACCUCCCAGUAAAUAUAAUAUCAAAAUGUCAAUGGUUCUUUUUGAAAAUCAAAGAGAAAAAUAAAUCAAAAAGAAGACCCACAGAAACAUGUACCACUGAUCAAAUCAGUAAUAUUAUUAAAUAAUAAAAAAUAAGACAAGGUUUUUUUCCCCCAUGGCAUUGAGUGCACUGAAGUUUUUGCUUUUUAGCUUGGUUUUGCAUCAGCUGCACGCCUGGUAGGCUCACUUUCUCAUCACUGGCAAGUGAGUGCUGUCAGUGCCUGCCUCAAACUACUUGCCCUCCCUCUUGGUUUUCAUUAAGUGAGUAUGAGGAGAGAAGGAUGGAGCCUGACCUGUGGGGCUGCAGACUUUAAAUCAAAUUAUUGUCAUGUUCCCUAAUUACUGUUCAACAUCUGGAGUCUUAAGUGACACAAACCAGUGGUGCCACUUAGAAUUUUCAUGCAGCGCUAGGAGUCUGAGGCCGUGGUGAAGUUCAAUACUGAAGCAUGAAUUUUACUGCUGUGUUUUUCAUAAAAAACUGUUAUACACUUAAAAAAAUUAAUCAUUGGCUCUAAUAGCUAAAAACCAAUCUCUAAUAGCUAAAACACAUAGCUCUUGAUAGUUUAUAAUACAUUUAUACCUGCAUUCUCUCACUUGAACACCACAGUAACUUAGUAAAAUAAAUAAUAAUGUGAUUUAUCUAUUUUUGCAGAUGAGAAAACAGAGGUUUAGAAGUUAUUAGGUCACACAUAUAGCAAGUGGCAGGGUGCAGAGUCAGUCUCAGGUUUCCAAAUUCCAAACCAUGAUCCUUCUCCUACACCACACCAUCUCCCAUAUGGAACCAUCACUUUGGAUCUGUUUGAUCAUUGCAGCCUCACCCUCUCUGAAUAGCCGCAUCUUAUUAUGCAGACACAGAAGAAAAGUGGCCAGUGCAGCAUUAAGAUGAUCCAGUGGGAUCCAAUUUCCCAGCUGUACAAAUGAACUACUGCAUCAUAUUCCCAGACAGGGAGCAGCAUUAUAGAACAGCUGAAAAUCUAGUCCAUCAAAAUAUUUAUGACUUACAGAGACUGUAAGAAGAAAAUCUCUUGCCACAUUUAACAAGGCAUGAGGAGAAGGCAGGAGAUGGGGCACAUACAUCAACAGCUCUAAGGUUGUUAGUUUUCAUUUCCACUUGCUACAGUAUUAAUUUUUAGGCCUGGGAUGGUAGACCCCCAGCAUGCAUGCCAUCAUCUCCUUUCCCUGCAUUCACAGCAGACAUUACUAAGCAAACAUGACACUCUUUCUGAUAGAACUCAAAUUGCUCUCCUGCUUCACUUUCAGCAUAGCAUCUAAGUGGGCUAUUGAUCAAGACUGGCAUGCCAGAUAGAAUAUUUGGAAUUCCUUCUUUAGGUCAAUGAUCUGCACCACUUUGUGUUAUCACAAAGCAUCACGAGCAUAAGUUCUGAAGUGGUUUGAAUCAAAGAACUCUUACGCUUUAAAUCAGUGACUUGGUCAAGUCCCUUCAAGUCUCUCUAGCCUCAGUUUCCUCAUCUAUAAAGUGAGAUUAAUAAUACCUUAUAGUACAGUGUUAUUGAGGGGACUAAAUGAGCUAAUAAAUAUGAAUAACAUAGCUCACUGAAUCACAUAGCUCAUUGCCUGGCACAUAAGUACAGAGUGAAUGGUGACCUUGUUACUAAGGUUACAUAAAGCCCACGGCAAAAGGAAGAAUAAUUAAUUUUAAGAGUUUGAUAAGAAGGCACUUACUAAUAUGAUUAAAAUUGAGAAAUCAGAUAAACUUAAUGAACAUUAAAUAAUGUAUUAACUGAUUUUUCAAUGAUAACUUUUAAGUUUCUCUAUUAUACAUUCUCUCUUUAAAACAAAUCUGUACUUACAGAAAAGGCGUCUCAAGAAUAAAGCAUAUUUACAAAGGGUAUUGCUAAACCUGACCUUUUGGCUUCCUUCUCUUGGUUCUUAACAAAAAGCAUUACUUGGAUUGGUAUAAGAGAACUGAACUUAAAUGCAAUAGAGAACUUCGAUCUAAAAGGAAAUUCUUAUUUGAGAUGAUUUAAUGAUAACUACAUGGAGAAUUAAUUGGCUAUUUUACUAUCAAGCAAAGUAAAAGAGAAAGAGCAAAAGCAAGGCAUUUUGCUUGGAUAAGAAAACAAAACCGGGAAUUGUUCAAGGAGUGGUUCAAGGAGCUUUUCCAGAAUGGUUUUGAGUUUUAAAGGAGAUUUGCAAAUCUAUCUAAUAUUUUGAAUUAUAAUAAUUCAAAAUUAGUACUGAGAUAGUACUGAGAGAUAGUACUGAGAAUGAUAAGCAGGCAAAUAAGCCACUAAAACUAAAUUCUGUAUUUUUGGUAUAUGCUUCAGUAAAGAAACUGAGAUACCAAUCUAAUUUCAGAUGAAUGUUUAUAGACUCUAAGCUAGAAUUCAUUCAAUUGGGAAAUGACACUAUUCUAAAAGGAAAUCUCAUAAAUGAUACAUUUACUCCACAUAUGUAUUUUAUGGACUAAAAGACACAUAUAUAGUUUCUUGGGCAAUUUU